GACGAACGCUGGCGGCGUGCUUAACACAUGCAAGUCGAACGAUGAUGCCCAGCUUGCUGGGUGGAUUAGUGGCGAACGGGUGAGUAACACGUGAGUAACCUGCCCCUGACUCUGGGAUAAGCGUUGGAAACGACGUCUAAUACUGGAUAUGACUGCCGGCCGCAUGGUCUGGUGGUGGAAAGAUUUUUUGGUUGGGGAUGGACUCGCGGCCUAGCAGCUUGUUGGUGAGGUAAUGGCUCACCAAGGCGACGACGGGUAGCCGGCCUGAGAGGGUGACCGGCCACACUGGGACUGAGACACGGCCCAGACUCCUACGGGAGGCAGCAGUGGGGAAUAUUGCACAAUGGGCGAAAGCCUGAUGCAGCAACGCCGCGUGAGGGAUGACGGCCUUCGGGUUGUAAACCUCUUUUAGUAGGGAAGAAGCGUAAGUGACGGUACCUGCAGAAAAAGCACCGGCUAACUACGUGCCAGCAGCCGCCGUAA
rnacentral:rRNA from 1 species